UGUCUACCGCAUGACCGGCAUGCAUGUUUGAUGCAGCGGUUGUACUGUACAGGUGUAUCUAAUGUUGUGGCCGGUUAAUGCAGGUUACCACGUGUUUUAUGAUGACUUCAUCAGAAUCAGAAUCAGAAUCAGAAAAGGAUUUAUUGCCAGAUGUUUCUCUUUAGUCAGCUCCCCUAAUUUACCAUGCAAGCUGAGCUGUCAGGGGGGGCGGAAGGAGUGGCUGCCCACCCCUUGCCAUGACUUUGUUCCCCAAAUUAACUUCAGGACCUUCUGUGAUUGGACUGAGCCAGCGGAAAGUCAACUUUAACCUUGCUUAUUAAUUGGAUAUGGCACCCUCCGCUGUCAUUGUCAAGUAGAUAGCACACACCUGUUUUUAAAGCACUGUAUUCAUGGGGACCUGUCAUUGACGUAGUACAUCGCUCAGCCCAUUCACCCUCAUUACAACCAUCACUAUAAACUCUUAUCUAAUUCUACACCAGAGGCAUUCAACACGGAGCUUGUGAGCUGCCAGUAGUCACCACCUUAUUUUUAUUUGCUCUCAAAUAACAAAAACAUUUAGUAUUUUAAACAUAGGCCAGCACUCCUGAUUCUGAAGGCCCUGAGUACGCUGACGUGGCAACAAAUAGAAGCCACAAUGUGAUUUAACAAACAGUGCAACAUAGACACAUACGUAUGUGUACUGUUAAGCAGUGCAGCUAAGAAAAUGAAGAUAAUAGAUGUUUUGGAAAUGUAGGCUAGUUCUUCUGGUGGUGUUUCAGCCAUCGGAGAAGGCUUUGCUGGCCCUGAUGGCUCACUACUGGUUUAUAGAAAUUUUUUAUUUGAGAACACAACCAUGAUAAAUGGAUCUGUACUGUUCCUUACAAAAUGGCCAACCCUGAUGAAAACUCUUUCUUGUCAUUACAAUAUAAUGACAUCAUAAUGUAUAAUUUGGUUUGUUAAAAAACAAUAUAACACUAUUAGCAUGUUAGUGUGUCUGAUCAAAAAGACCAGUUGAAAAAUUGCUAAAAUAUGCAUUGACCAUAAUGAGGUUUUAAGUAGAGCUACAGUGGGACACUAGCGCUUCUGGUGGUGCAGGGUCAUCAAACGGUGGUUUAUUACAUGCUUACAUGCAGAUGUUGCAGUGGGCAUCCCUCAUGCAUGAGAGCCCUCGACUGUUUUUUCAGCAGGACAAUGCUUGCUUAACCAAGGACUUUUGGACCAUCCUGCAUGUUCCCCUGGUUUAAAUCCCAUAGAGAACAUUUAGGGAUGGGUGGCAAGGGAAGUUUAUGAAAAUGGCCAUCAGUUCCACACAGUUGAUAGCCUUUGUGAAGCCAUCUUCACCACUUGGAGCAAUGUUCCCAAAAUCUUCCCGGAAACACUCGUAUCAAGCAUACCCAAACCAAUUUUUGAAGUGAUUAACAAGAACGGUGGAGCUACUCAUUACUGAGUCCUACUGAGAAUUUUUUCGAGUUAUUUUGUAAUUGUGGUCGUAAACUUCUGAUAAACUUCUGAUAAACAACCUAUUUCAGUUUAAUUGUUGUUUUCAAGAAAUUAAUUUCUCAAAGUGCUUGUUAUAACAAUCCCCCGUCGUGCUUUUGCAUAUUGUUGAUGUACUUGAAACCUCAUUAAGAUCCAAAAACGCAAAAGGUAAAUUUGAGCAAUUUUUCAA